rnacentral:rRNA from 1 species
AGCGAACGCUGGCGGCAGGCCUAACACAUGCAAGUCGAACGGACCCUUCGGGGUUAGUGGCGGACGGGUGAGUAACACGUGGGAACGUGCCUUUAGGUUCGGAAUAGCUCCUGGAAACGGGUGGUAAUGCCGAAUGUGCCCUUCGGGGGAAAGAUUUAUCGCCUUUAGAGCGGCCCGCGUCUGAUUAGCUAGUUGGUGAGGUAAAGGCUCACCAAGGCGACGAUCAGUAGCUGGUCUGAGAGGAUGACCAGCCACAUUGGGACUGAGACACGGCCCAAACUCCUACGGGAGGCAGCAGUGGGGAAUCUUGCGCAAUGGGCGAAAGCCUGACGCAGCCAUGCCGCGUGAAUGACGAAGGUCUUAGGAUUGUAAAAUUCUUUCACCGGGGACGAUAAUGACGGUACCCGGAGAAGAAGCCCCGGCUAACUUCGUGCCAGCAGCCGCAGUAACAC